rnacentral:lncRNA from 1 species
GCUGCGUUUGCCCAUGGCCUGUCCCUCUUCCCCCGGCAGAGCCUUGGGGGUCACUGCUGUGGUUCCCUUCUGCUUCCGUUGUUCCCCUCUUUGCUCAUAAAACAAUCAACUGUACAGGUUUUUAUGAUCUAUUUAGGGAGAAGCCUGAUAGCAGCUUUGUCAGAUUAGAAGCCGUGAGGAAUCUGCUCAGGCUGAAGACCAAACCUUGCCCUCGCUUCUCCACGAAAGACUGCACAGUGCGAAGAGCGCUUGCAUCCACCCCUUUGCCCUCAUUUCUGUGCCAGCUGUCAGUCAUGCUAAGGCCUUCAUUGGAACUGCAGCAUCCCAGCUGAAAAUGCCUCAACAGGUGGAAGUUAUGUCCAUGAGGACACAUAAAUUGUCAACACCUGCCCGUCUCUUCUGGGAUGGAGCCACUGGCAGGGACUGGUUGGGUUGCUAAGCAGAUCUGUCUGCCAUGGUGGAGCUUUACGAACACCUCUGCAUAUGGAUUAAAGGUAAAAUGAUUUCCUAAUAAUUUGUAGAGUUUUUUAACAACAAUAGCAAGUUCUUAGGGGUGGGAAACACUUUCUCUUUUUUCUCCAGGGUUUGGCAUGGUAGGUUUUGUGCAGGCACAGCUUCUGUCACUAAUAGUGCUGGAUGCACAUAAAGCACUGUACUCUCAUACUGUACUGUAGAGAUGAAUAACAAGCUGUUCUGGUUGCUCUGCUACAUAUUCAUAAAAAACAAAAAGGAAACAGAAGCACAGAGCAAGCCAACAGAUGUCUACCUGGCUCUUAAUUGGAUUUUAUGUGUCCCCAGUGUAGCAAAUACAGCAUUAUUUACAGCCAGGCUCUAAGAAUUAGAUACAUCUGGAGGAGUGGUGAAACCUGAACCAGACUAUGGGAGUUGGUAGGUUAACUGAAAUGAAGAGCUGCCCCAUUUUCCCCUUAUCUUCUCCCUUCCCACCUAUGUACCGGUUCUCUGUUGUGUGUUGAAUCAAACCAAGAUAUUGCCCAAGGGAAUGCUUAUAAAAAUGAAAAAUGCCAGCAAAAAAGGAGAAUUUCUAGUCUUGUGGAGCUUCAUCAGCAUUUUCUAAUUGUACAGCAAUGAUGAUAAUAAAAAGGCUGCCCUCUGCUCUCAGCUAUAAUUUGGAUAAUCAACUGAAAGCCGUAAUGAAACUGUCUGUGAUUGCUUUCUGCUGGGCUGCUAGUUCACAGAAGCUCAUUGUUGGGCAGAAUUAAAAGUUAUGACUCCUGCUACAGGGAUACACCACUGUGUUCCAAAGGAACAUGUGACUUUGUAAUUCUCUUCUGUAUGGCUUUAUUACAGGCAAACCUUGCAUAAAGCAGAGAGGUAUAGAGAGUUAAGCUUUUGUUUCUUUGCCUGUUUUCUAGAAAGUUGUUCAGUGUCAGAGCUGGCAGUACCAGAUAGCAUGUGUGCCUGGCCGGGGGCACUUGCAGGCACAUAGGAUUU